UCGGUAAAGCGAUGGACUCACGCCCUAUAUGUCACGGGUUCGACUCCCGCUUCAGACAUAGUUCAUAGGGUUUUUCCUAAUCAUAAAUGAUUAGUCUCUGCUGUUAGUUAUCACUAGCCAGCUCUAUCGACCGUAAUAGGUCUCUAAGAAAACACCAAAAAAUGCUGAACACAGUUCUUAAUAAAAACUUCUCAUA